rnacentral:snRNA from 1 species
GUGUUCACUUCUGCAGCACACAUUCUAAAAUCGGAGAAAGAUGAGCAUGGCCCCAGUGCAAGGAUGACACGAAAAUCUGUGACACACUCCCUAUUUUU